GGCCUGGUAGUGUACUGGUAACACAUCCUCUCUUGGUAACUCAGUGUCCAUAGCGUUGGAGGAAACACCCCAUUCGAUUCGGGGCCGGGCCA